rnacentral:tRNA from 1 species
GCCUGGCUGGCUCAGUCCAUAGAGCAUGUGACUCUUGAUCUCAAGGCCAUGAGUUCGAGCCCCAUGUUGGGUA